ensembl:lncRNA
CCGGCAUUGAAGCUCCUCCCACCAGCAGGACUCACAAGGAGACGUUCGCGACAGAAGGUUUGCAGCGGAGGAGAGCUGAACAUCAUUAAUCUGUUGGCUGGCAUUAAUCAUCACUCAUAGAUCGGUCAAUAGGUGACUCACUCACCAGCAAGCCAGUGGAACCUACAGAGCAUGCGGAGAAUGAAUGAGGAAAGCCAAGAUCUACUUCUGUGGAAGCCAGUGUAAAGACCUGAGAACUGGAGCGACGUGAUCCACUUUCCUGGUCCUAGUGAGGACUCGAGCUGCAGCGUUCUGGAUCAGCUGUAGCUUUCUGAUUGACUUUUUACAGAGACAUGUAAAAACACUGUUACAGUAGUUGAGACUACUGAAGAUAAACGCAUGGACAAGUUUUUCCAAAUCUUUCCACAUCCUACAAUACACAUUGACAAAAUAAAUUGUGUUGUGUGGUGUAGUUAGUGGACUCAAACGCACACGCACAGCAGUGAGUUAAAUUAAAUAGGUUAGCGAGAUCUUCCUGGCACCUGAGACCCGCCUGGGAACUGGGACGGACUGACGACGACAACGAGCCUGGGAACUCUGAAGCCUUUAUGCCAGUCACUGUGAUUCCCGGAAUGAGCCACAACUGGGCUACAGAGAGAGGGGCGUGGCCGAAGGCAGGACACAGGGGCAGAAACUCUAGGUUGAAAAACAAAACAAAAGCACAGGGGGAAAACAAAAACCAGAUACACAGAUAGCAGGAUCCUAACAAAAUGAAUAUUAAAACAAUUUCAAAAUAGCAUUUUUGUAUAUUUUAGAUUUUUUAGAUGUUUUUUUACAUACCAGUGUUACAUGUACAGCACAGUAAUAACUGGAUUACUUUUGAUACUAAAGAAAACAUUGGGACAUGGUGAUUAGAAGGAAAGAUCUGAGGUGGAUUUAUAUUUAUUUGUAAAUCAAGAUGUGCAAAUUGUGCUAGACAACAAAUUAACACAGCAGUAUAUUUUUGGUUUUAUCUUAAUAAUGCAUUGAUAGCUUCUUGAAAUCAGACACUAACUGUUAGCAGUGGAAUCAUUUACUUACAAGAAGAUCUUCUCGAGCGUAACGUUACAAGAACGCCACACACUGUCUCUCAUACUGUCUCACUCACCUUCUCACACACUGUCUCUCAUACUGUCUCACACUGUCUCUCAUACUGUCUCAUCCACUGUCUCACACACGUCUCUCAUACUGUCUCACACUCUCUCAUAUUGUCUCACACACUGUCUCUCAUACUGUCUCACUCACUGUCUCACACACUGUCUCUCAUACUGUCUCACUCACUGUCUCUAAUACUGGCUCACACACUGUCUCACACACUGUCUCUCAUACUGUCUCACUCACUGUCUCUAAUACUGGCUCACACACUGUCUCACACUGUCUUUCAUGUUGUACAUGUUUGUACAGUGUAGCAAUGCAGAAAACAUCUGGAAAGCCGCUGCAUGUCAUGCUCUUCGUAAAAUUCUGUAGGUGCUUAAUAAACUUCUGGAUGUUC